AACUUAUAGUUUUUCAGUCACUGUGUUCAAUUUUCUAAGUGCUCCUAUUGCUGAAAGUUCUCUUUAACUGCUCUUUAAGGGCAAUAAGCCGUCAUGAUUGGGAGAGUCCUCUGGAUAAUCCCAGUAUUCCUAAGUUUACUUAUCCUGGUGCUUGGAAUUCCUCUCUAUGCCUUGGCGGCACUCUUAGGUGGUCCUUUGUAUUUUAAAUAUCCGUUUGGGGGAAUACUAGCUCUGGCGAAAGGUUUCGUAAACCUGUGGAUUCAUGCUAAGUUAUUGUUUAAAAAAUAACCAAAUCGAACAAUAAACGAGUCGGGUAUUCUAUA